GACAGAGGUGCCAAGCGUUAGGCGGAAUCACUGGGCUUAAAGCGUGUGUAGGCGGAAUUGUAAGUACCUUGUGAAAUCCCACGGCUCAACCGUGGAACUGCUCGGUAUACUGCUUUUCUUGAGCCACUUAGGGGCUGUCGGAACAAGCGGUGGAGCGGUGAAAUGCGUAGAUAUCGCUUGGAACGCCGAAGGUGAAAACAGGCUGCUGGGGUUGCGCCGACGCUGAGACACGAAAGCCAGGGGAGCAAACGGGG
rnacentral:rRNA from 1 species